UACAUGUGGGGCAAGCGUUGUUCGGAAUUACUGGGCAUAAAGGGUGCGUAGGCGGCUUGGUAAGUCAGUGGUGAAAUCCGGUGGCCCAACCAUCGAACUGCCAUUGAUACUGCUGAGCUUGAGUGCGUGAGGGGUAACCGGAACGAGUGGUGUAGCGGUGAAAUGCGUAGAUAUCACUCGGAAGGCCAACGGCGAAGGCAGGUUACUGGUGCGCAACUGACGCUGAGGCACGAAAGCGUGGGGAGCAAACAGG
rnacentral:rRNA from 1 species